UUCAUUGCACAAUAAAGCUUCUUAAAGCUAUUUCAUUUUCUGUGUCAAUAAGCUCUUAUGAGCAGAAUCUAUCUUGUUUUGAGUUUGUCUACAUGGUAUCAGAGCACCAGGGAGUAAAUCCUUGGAUCUAUGGGUUUUAUUUUCACCAGCUUCCAAUAUACAACCCUUUCUGUCACUAAAGCUCCAAACUUGCUUCACUCACGCUGCUCUCCUUCAGUCACGCUGGUACAAUUCACUCCAUGAAGCAAGAGGACGAAAUCAUCCAGCCUUUUCAACACCAGAACAACAAGACGUUUUCUUUAAGCUUCAGUUAGAUGAAGCUGUGUGUUUUCUGGGUAGCGAUGAAGCUGAAGCUGUGAAGUAGGGCUCAGAACAGACAGAGAAGAAAGAAAGACUUCCUCAUCACUUUAUGGACGGUAUUGUCUAUUUCUUUCUACUGAGACAGAACAAAAGAUGAAAAAUAAAUGUCUCUGUGUUGGAUUGAGUUGCUGGUUAGCUUAAAUUCUUGGGUUAAGAUAGGUUUGGAACCGAAGCUAUAAUGAAAUAGGCAGGUUUGGGUUUGUUGCGUGUGGAAGCUCUGGCUUUAAUGCUAAUGCACACAAAGUGCUCGCUGAAAUGCUCACAAGAAGGUCAGUUUGUUUAGAGGCAGAGUUUUGGUGAUAUUGAUGGGAAGCAGAGAGUGAGUAUAGUUGUAUUUGGUAGGUGUGGAAAGAGUGUUCUUCAUUAGACACAUUAGAAGGAUGAAAUGGGUAAAGUAAACCUAGAUUCAUAGUGAGACAAAUAGGCCACAAUUAUACCUCUGAGUGAGAUCAACUAAGCUCUCCAAGUUCAAGAGAAACCUCUGAGUGAAGCCAUGUGAUACUCUCCAAGUAUAGGUCUGAAUAGAUCUCACACUAAUGUUUGUCUACAAUGGUGAGUAGAACCAUUUGCUAACAUCUCAAGCAUCCUACUUCAUCUACUUAUGCUCAUUUCAAGCCAUAUCCAUCUGUGCUUUCAAACUCAGCGUAGCUGCUCCAUCCACGCUAAGUUUGCGGGGGAGUAUUAGCAAGGCCCAAAUAAAGACCGGAAGCCCAUUAUCUAAGCUCAUUGUAUCUAGGUUUUCUAGCAUAUUGAGUUGAUAUAAAUAUCUGUGUAAGGUCACUUUGCAAUGUAACGAAGG
rnacentral:lncRNA from 1 species